UUAAGCGACUAAGCGUACACGGUGGAUGCCCUGGCAGUCAGAGGCGAUGAAGGACGUGCUAAUCUGCGAUAAGCGUCGGUAAGGUGAUAUGAACCGUUAUAACCGGCGAUUUCCGAAUGGGGAAACCCAGUGUGAUUCGUCACACUAUCAUUAACUGAAUCCAUAGGUUAAUGAGGCGAACCGGGGGAACUGAAACAUCUAAGUACCCCGAGGAAAAGAAAUCAACCGAGAUUCCCCCAGUAGCGGCGAGCGAACGGGGAGCAGCCCAGAGCCUGAAUCAGUGUGUGUGUUAGUGGAAGCGUCUGGAAAGGCGUGCGAUACAGGGUGACAGCCCCGUACACAAAAAUGCACAUGCUGUGAGCUCGAUGAGUAGGGCGGGACACGUGGUAUCCUGUCUGAAUAUGGGGGGACCAUCCUCCAAGGCUAAAUACUCCUGACUGACCGAUAGUGAACCAGUACCGUGAGGGAAAGGCGAAAAGAACCCCGGCGAGGGGAGUGAAAAAGAACCUGAAACCGUGUACGUACAAGCAGUGGGAGCACGCUUAGGCGUGUGACUGCGUACCUUUUGUAUAAUGGGUCAGCGACUUAUAUUCUGUAGCAAGGUUAACCGAAUAGGGGAGCCGAAGGGAAACCGAGUCUUAACUGGGCGUUAAGUUGCAGGGUAUAGACCCGAAACCCGGUGAUCUAGCCAUGGGCAGGUUGAAGGUUGGGUAACACUAACUGGAGGACCGAACCGACUAAUGUUGAAAAAUUAGCGGAUGACUUGUGGCUGGGGGUGAAAGGCCAAUCAAACCGGGAGAUAGCUGGUUCUCCCCGAAAGCUAUUUAGGUAGCGCCUCGUGAAUUCAUCUCCGGGGGUAGAGCACUGUUUCGGCAAGGGGGUCAUCCCGACUUACCAACCCGAUGCAAACUGCGAAUACCGGAGAAUGUUAUCACGGGAGACACACGGCGGGUGCUAACGUCCGUCGUGAAGAGGGAAACAACCCAGACCGCCAGCUAAGGUCCCAAAGUCAUGGUUAAGUGGGAAACGAUGUGGGAAGGCCCAGACAGCCAGGAUGUUGGCUUAGAAGCAGCCAUCAUUUAAAGAAAGCGUAAUAGCUCACUGGUCGAGUCGGCCUGCGCGGAAGAUGUAACGGGGCUAAACCAUGCACCGAAGCUGCGGCAGCGACGCUUAUGCGUUGUUGGGUAGGGGAGCGUUCUGUAAGCCUGUGAAGGUGUGCUGUGAGGCAUGCUGGAGGUAUCAGAAGUGCGAAUGCUGACAUAAGUAACGAUAAAGCGGGUGAAAAGCCCGCUCGCCGGAAGACCAAGGGUUCCUGUCCAACGUUAAUCGGGGCAGGGUGAGUCGACCCCUAAGGCGAGGCCGAAAGGCGUAGUCGAUGGGAAACAGGUUAAUAUUCCUGUACUUGGUGUUACUGCGAAGGGGGGACGGAGAAGGCUAUGUUGGCCGGGCGACGGUUGUCCCGGUUUAAGCGUGUAGGCUGGUUUUCCAGGCAAAUCCGGAAAAUCAAGGCUGAGGCGUGAUGACGAGGCACUACGGUGCUGAAGCAACAAAUGCCCUGCUUCCAGGAAAAGCCUCUAAGCAUCAGGUAACAUCAAAUCGUACCCCAAACCGACACAGGUGGUCAGGUAGAGAAUACCAAGGCGCUUGAGAGAACUCGGGUGAAGGAACUAGGCAAAAUGGUGCCGUAACUUCGGGAGAAGGCACGCUGAUACGUAGGUGAAGUCCCUCGCGGAUGGAGCUGAAAUCAGUCGAAGAUACCAGCUGGCUGCAACUGUUUAUUAAAAACACAGCACUGUGCAAACACGAAAGUGGACGUAUACGGUGUGACGCCUGCCCGGUGCCGGAAGGUUAAUUGAUGGGGUUAGCGCAAGCGAAGCUCUUGAUCGAAGCCCCGGUAAACGGCGGCCGUAACUAUAACGGUCCUAAGGUAGCGAAAUUCCUUGUCGGGUAAGUUCCGACCUGCACGAAUGGCGUAAUGAUGGCCAGGCUGUCUCCACCCGAGACUCAGUGAAAUUGAACUCGCUGUGAAGAUGCAGUGUACCCGCGGCAAGACGGAAAGACCCCGUGAACCUUUACUAUAGCUUGACACUGAACAUUGAGCCUUGAUGUGUAGGAUAGGUGGGAGGCUUUGAAGUGUGGACGCCAGUCUGCAUGGAGCCGACCUUGAAAUACCACCCUUUAAUGUUUGAUGUUCUAACGUUGACCCGUGAUCCGGGUUGCGGACAGUGUCUGGUGGGUAGUUUGACUGGGGCGGUCUCCUCCUAAAGAGUAACGGAGGAGCACGAAGGUUGGCUAAUCCUGGUCGGACAUCAGGAGGUUAGUGCAAUGGCAUAAGCCAGCUUGACUGCGAGCGUGACGGCGCGAGCAGGUGCGAAAGCAGGUCAUAGUGAUCCGGUGGUUCUGAAUGGAAGGGCCAUCGCUCAACGGAUAAAAGGUACUCCGGGGAUAACAGGCUGAUACCGCCCAAGAGUUCAUAUCGACGGCGGUGUUUGGCACCUCGAUGUCGGCUCAUCACAUCCUGGGGCUGAAGUAGGUCCCAAGGGUAUGGCUGUUCGCCAUUUAAAGUGGUACGCGAGCUGGGUUUAGAACGUCGUGAGACAGUUCGGUCCCUAUCUGCCGUGGGCGCUGGAGAACUGAGGGGGGCUGCUCCUAGUACGAGAGGACCGGAGUGGACGCAUCACUGGUGUUCGGGUUGUCAUGCCAAUGGCACUGCCCGGUAGCUAAAUGCGGAAGAGAUAAGUGCUGAAAGCAUCUAAGCACGAAACUUGCCCCGAGAUGAGUUCUCCCUGACCCUUUAAGGGUCCUGAAGGAACGUUGAAGACGACGACGUUGAUAGGCCGGGUGUGUAAGCGCAGCGAUGCGUUGAGCUAACCGGUACUAAUGAACCGUGAGGCUUAACCUU
rnacentral:rRNA from 1 species